CUUCCUACGGGAGGCAGCAGUGGGGAAUCUUGCGCAAUGGGCGGAAGCCUGACGCAGCGACGCCGCGUGCGGGACGAAGGCCUUCGGGUCGUAAACCGCUUUCAGCAGGGACGAGGCCCUCACGGUGACGGUACCUGCAGAAGAAGCCCCGGCUAACUACGUGCCAGCAGCCGCGGUAAUACGUAGGGGGCGAGCGUUAUCCGGAUUCAUUGGGCGUAAAGCGCGCGUAGGCGGCCUGUUAGGUCGGGGGUCAAAUACCGGGGUCCCACGCCGGUCGGCCCCCGAUACCGGC
rnacentral:rRNA from 1 species